rnacentral:rRNA from 1 species
UACGAAGGGGGCUAGCGUUGCUCGGAAUCACUGGGCGUAAAGCGCACGUAGGUGGCUUUUUAAGUCAGGGGUGAAAUCCUGGAGCUCAACUCCAGAACUGCCUUUGAUACUGAGAAGCUUGAGUCCGGGAGAGGUGAGUGGAAUUCCGAGUGUAGAGGUGAAAUUCGUAGAUAUUCGGAAGAACACCAGUGGCGAAGGCGGCUCACUGGACCGGUAUUGACGCUGAGGUGCGAAAGCGUGGGGAGCAAACAGGG